CUGCAUCUCCGCAUUCUCGAUCUCCAGCUCAUGCACCUGUAAGGUGCGGGCGAAUCAGUUAGACAUGACGAGACAGUUAGAAGAGUGAUAAUACAGCCCAAACUAUGUCCAGACCAACCAUCAAAGCAAUAGGGUGAGAUGUCUUCAGCUGGCGCCCCCCGACAAGAUCUGACCUACGGGCGGCUGCGGCAUAUCUUUUAUACCCCUUCUCGCACCAUCCCCAAACACACCUGUUAUCCAAUCAGCCUUAAGUAAUAUCCAUUAUAUUGGUGGAAAUCAUCUGUCUAUCAUGCAUAAAAAUAUAUGCAAAACUGUGUAACUUUGGGUUUUCUGGUUUUCUCCAGUUUUCUUAUAAUGAAGACUUUCUUAUCUCGUACUCUAUAUGAGGUAGCUUCUACCUGGUGCUUGUCCUUGCUCUGUCCCAACCAGCUGAUGUCAUCACCUUCACCUUGACCAUCUAAUGAGGACAGUCUCCUCCCGGCUUCUACAGUACUUUCCACUUACUCCCACCGCUCUGAUUGUUAGUCUGGGUUGCUCAUUAUUUUUUAAUGACUUUGAAGUGCUUACAGUAAAUACAACAAUAUCAAAGUUUAUGAAACCAUUAAAGUCAGUCUCUUGAAUCAUGAAAAAGCA